GGCUGGGUCUGGGUCUCCUCCCCUCACAGUGGGGCAUCUCAGACCACAGGGCUGGGUCUCUCUUCCCCUUGGACAGGGGCCUCCACAAACAUCAGUAUUAUUCUGUCUCCCCAACCUUGGUCUUCCUCUUUGGCUUCCUCAGGGCUCUCCUGCCUCCAAGCAGGCAUCCUGGUGGGCAUCUCAGCCUUCCUCGUCCUGACCUUCCUCUUCCUCUCUUUCCUUUGCCUUCAUCGCCAUUGUUAUCAGCCCAGACUAGGGAAAGGAGACAGAGAGACAGACAUCAAGACCACCAGGAGAUCAGAACUAGCUGGGACCACCCUAGAGGAGACUGUGUAUGCUGCUGUGAAUGAUGACACACAGACAGAGGAGGCUGGACAAGAAGAAAAGGCUCUCCAAAGAGAAGACCUUCAGGAAGUAACCUAUGCCCAGGUGAACCACAAGAGGCUCAAGUGUGGGGUUCAGCCUCCUCCCCAAUCUGGCCCAGUGGAGCCUAGUGUCUAUGCUGUCCUUCGGUGAGCUUUGCCUAAGCCCAGGAGACCAGAGUAAGAAGCUGCUCCUUCAUCCAUUCUCCCUCUGCUUCCUGAGGGCAGACCCUGUCCUACCUCAUCCCCAAGACACCCUGCCAUUAGCACCUCAGUUUGUCACCCCAAGAGGAAAAGCAGAAAAGACAAAAAGCCUAAACUCUGGGGAACAGCCAUCCAGUCGUAGUUCAGUAAUGACGGAUCAGGAGGAUGUUAGAGAUGAAUGCAGAAGCUGAUGCCGGUGAGCCAGGCGUCCAUGGACCAGACUUAGCUGGGGAUAUUAUUUGUAAUUCACAUGAUGGACUUAUCCUGGAUUCUUCUAUCAGAGAAAUGAAUUUGGGGUAAAAAAUUAUGGGGCUACAAAUUGUUCAAAGAGCUGUAGCUGCAGCCUGGAACCUGGCAGGGAGGUUGCAAAGAUCUUUGGGGUCUGAAAGGCUCCCCUUUACCCUCUGAGUGAGUUCUGAGCAGGGUUCCAGGAAGAGAGAAGUUUAACAAGUCCAGAAAGACUUUCAAAUGCGCCUCCUCCUUCCUACCCAGCUUUAUUGUCUGUUUCUUUAUCUCUGUAAUUGGAUUGUAUAUUCUGUUAAACCUUUUGGGGCUUCCUUUGUCUGGAGGACACCCUGAAACCCCCAAUGAUGUGUUAACCUAUAAUAAACGGGUCAGGGACAAGCUGAUCUCUGUCACUCUUGUCUCCCUGCCCGAUUCCACACUAGGUAUUUCUCUGGCUCUCUUGUCUCUCAUUCCCUCUAUGCAGCUCCAUUCCCUGGCUUAAGCCCAUUUCCCCAUUCCUUUUCCCAGUUCUUGGCUUCCCUUCUAGGGUAUUAGAAUUCCCAGGGAUCUUUGAGAGGGCUGGAACUUUUCACUGUGGGAUGCUGGGAGAGAAAGGACUUUCCUCUGCAUAGAAUGUGCCCCCUGGAAUGCUGGGUCCCCCAACAUCCACAAAGGAACAAAAUGAUUAUUACAAAUUAGAAAUUAUCUGGGUC